AGAGACCGGCGCACGGGUGCGUAACGCGUAUGCAAUCUACCUUUCACAGAGGGAUAGCCCAGAGAAAUUUGGAUUAAUACCUCAUAGUAUAGCAGUUUCGCAUGAAACCACUAUUAAAGUCACAACGGUGAAAGAUGAGCAUGCGUCCCAUUAGCUAGUUGGUAAGGUAACGGCUUACCAAGGCAACGAUGGGUAGGGGUCCUGAGAGGGAGAUCCCCCACACUGGUACUGAGACACGGACCAGACUCCUACGGGAGGCAGCAGUGAGGAAUAUUGGACAAUGGGCGCAAGCCUGAUCCAGCCAUGCCGCGUGCAGGAUGACGGUCCUAUGGAUUGUAAACUGCUUUUAUACGAGAAGAAACACUCCUUCGUGAAGGAGCUUGACGGUAUCGUAAGAAUAAGGAUCGGCUAACUCCGUGCCAGCAGCCGCGGUAAUACGGAGGAUCCAAGCGUUAUCCGGAAUCAUUGGGUUUAAAGGGUCCGUAGGCGGUCAGAUAAGUCAGUGGUGAAAGCCCAUCGCUCAACGGUGGA
rnacentral:rRNA from 1 species